CGUUAAUCGGCGCAGGGUUAGUCGGCCCCUAAGGCGAGGGCGAAAGCCGUAGUCGAUGGGAAGCAGGGUAAUAUUCCUGCGCCUCGCGUGAGUGCGAUGGAGGGACGGAGAAGGCUAGGUGUACCGGGCGUUGGUUGUCCCGGGGAAAGGCGGUAGGCUGGUUCCUUAGGAAAAUCCGGGGGGCCUUUUAAAGCCGAGCACCGAGACGAGUCGUUUUAGAUGAAGUCACUGAUGCCACGCUUCCAGGAAAAGGUACUAAGCUACAGCUCAC
rnacentral:rRNA from 1 species